AGCGAACGUUUGCGGCGGGCCUAACACAUGCAAGUCGAACGCACUAGCAAUAGUGAGUGGCGCACGGGUGCGUAACACGUGGGUAAUCAACCCUUCAGCCUGGGAUAACGACUCGAAAGGGUCGCUAAUACCGGAUACGGCGCGAGAGGCUUCGGCUUCUCACGAGAAAGCCACGCAAGGGGCACUGAAGGACGAGCCUGCGGCCCAUCAGCUAGUUGGUGAGGUAAGAGCUCACCAAGGCUAAGACGGGUAGCUGGUCUGAGAGGAUGAUCAGCCACACUGGAACUGAGACACGGUCCAGACUCCUACGGGAGGCAGCAGUGGGGAAUAUUGCGCAAUGGGCGAAAGACCUGACGCAGCCACGCCGCGUGAGCGAUGAAGG
rnacentral:rRNA from 1 species